AAGAUGAUAUAAAAUAUAGUGAGAGAUAAAAAGUCAUCACAAGCGGACAAAGGACUUGUACGAAAUUUUCCAAUUUUUUAAGGUUUGUUUGUAAGUUUGUAAUAAGUAGUUGAAGCCAGUGAAUAAGGAAAGACACAAAAAGAAAGAGAGAGAGAGAUUGGUCAUAGAAAUUGCAGCCACACCCAUCAUUUUUUUUCUUGGAUUCAGAUUUUUGGAGCUCCAAAAAUCUUGCUCUCUCUUUCACUUCCUUCUUCUCUUAAUCAGUUAAUCCCAAAACAACACAACUGAGACUGCACUUUGCACCGUACAGUUUCUUCUCUCUUGUGUUUCUAUUGUCUCUGCAGAUCUUUGCCUUAUUCUUCUGUGGAGGUUGAGGAAAAAGGAGGUUUUUCUUCAUACCCAUGUGCAAAAUUUAUUUUUUGAGCUUUAUUGAUUGGUCCUGAUAAGGUUCUGCUGCUAAUUCGUUGUUCUGUGUGGUGUGUAUUGUGAGCUACUACUAUUGAAGCUGUGUGGUGAAAAGAUUUUACAGAAGGAAGUGGUAUUGUAUU